GGCGGCAGGCCUAACACAUGCAAGUCGAACGAGACCUUCGGGUCUAGUGGCGGACGGGUUAGUAACGCGUGGGAACGUGCCUUUCACUACGGAAUAGUCCCGGGAAACUGGGUUUAAUACCGUAUACGCCCUUCGGGGGAAAGAAUUUCGGUGAAAGAUCGGCCCGCGUUAGAUUAGGUAGUUGGUGGGGUAAUGGCCUACCAAGCCUACGAUCUAUAGCUGGUUUUAGAGGAUGAUCAGCAACACUGGGACUGAGACACGGCCCAGACUCCUACGGGAGGCAGCAGUGGGGAAUCUUGGACAAUGGGCGCAAGCCUGAUCCAGCCAUGCCGCGUGAGUGAUGAAGGCCUUAGGGUCGUAAAGCUCUUUCGCCAGGGAUGAUAAUGACAGUACCUGGUAAAGAAACCCCGGCUAACUCCGUGCCAGCAGCCGCGGUAAUACGGAGGGGGUUAGCGUUGUUCGGAAUUACUGGGCGUAAAGCGCACGUAGGCGGAUUGGAAAGUUGGGGGUGAAAUCCCAGGGCUCAACCCUGGAACUGCCUCCAAAACUACCAGUCUAGAGUUCGAGAGAGGUGAGUGGAAUUCCGAGUGUAGAGGUGAAAUUCGUAGAUAUUCGGAGGAACACCAGUGGCGAAGGCGGCUCACUGGCUCGAUACUGACGCUGAGGUGCGAAAGUGUGGGGAGCAAACAGGAUUAGAUACCCUGGUAGUCCACACCGUAAACGAUGAAUGCCAGUCGUCGGAUAGCAUGCUAUUCGGUGACACACCUAACGGAUUAAGCAUCC
rnacentral:rRNA from 1 species